CUUUGGGGGAAGAUGGGGAGGGGGGAAGAGGAAGACAAACCUGAAAUCUUAAAUGGCUUUUGAUUGCCAUGAAGUACUCAAGCAGACAAUUGCUGGGAUUACUACAUUGACAAAGCAUCCUGCAACUAGAUUUCCUGGGAAACGUGGCAGGAGAGUGGUGUGAAUGCAGUUAAUGGCGAGAUGUCAGCGGCUGGCCUUUGGCAGCAUCUCUGCAGGAACACAGCCGCAGCACUUCUGGGUUUGGGACGGUCCCCACGGCACCGUCAAGUGCCACGAGGACCAUGAGUGAUGCCCGGGGCUGUGCUGAGCCAUCCCUGCUCGGUGGCAGAAGGAUGCCCUUCGGAGGCUCCAUUUCCAACGUGCUGCCUCAGUUGGUGGUGGCUUACAGGAAGCUGGAAUACAAAUACCUGAGUGCUCGGAAGAGCUUAAGUGAAAGGCAGCAGAAGGAUUUGGGUGCGGGGGGAGGUUUGUGUUGUCUCUCUAAGCCUGCGCAUACACACUGUACGUGCGUUGCUCCCAAAUUCAGAUCUGCAUCUGUCGGGUGGUUUGGCCCAUUCUGGUCGCUGGUGAGGGGAUGUGAUGGAUUGUGGAGCUCCUGCCUCUUGGGAGGGGGCCCUGUGAAGUGACUUUGAGUGUCGUGCCAGCUCAGUACGUGUUUCACUUCAUGUGUGAAUCGUACCACAGUACUGAAGCAGUGAGAACUCAGUGUCCUGCUCAGGUACCCUCCACCAGAAACAUCAUGUACUUGGCAUUUCUGGCCAGUAACCUAAAAUCUGUGAGGAUGUUUAAGGAACUAUAUGAAAGAAACACAUAGAGCAACUGUCAUUGAUAUGAGGGGCAGGGGGUAAGUAAAACAAAGUCAUCUACACCCCCCCAAAAUAACCAUAUGGCUCAAAACUCUGAGAUACUUGGGCUCUGAUCUUAGCCCGGCCCACUAACUGUGUGUCUGUGGGUGAUGGAUCCAUUUCUGUCCCUGUGUCCACAAGGAAGGUGGAUAUGCAUGGACAGAAAACUAGCAUCACUUAAAAUUGGAGGAGUUUAGCUCAAAGGACUCAGAGAGCUGUGGAAGCUGCUUGGGUUCUCUGUUAAAGCAGUCCUGCAGAAACCUGAAAGGAACUUUUCCUCAAAAUUUGAAUUCUGUAAUGCAGAUCUUAGUGACAGAGAUCUGGAAAUUUAAAAAAACAGCUUGUUUUUGGUGACCUCCCAUGUGUUAUCUACAAUACCACGUGCAGGAGCAUCCUGCUGGUUUCCAAGCUCAGUUCUCCUGCCUGAGCUGUGGUUCAUUGCUUCCCCUGUAGCAAAUGUUGUUGGAAGAAUGGGUGAUGCCAAACUAGCCCUAAUUCAACAUGGAAUUUAGCUGCACUCAAGACAUCAGUCUUUCAUGUCUGUUGUCUUGCUGAGUUCUUCACAAAUUAUGAUUUUCUUCAGCAUAAUUAUACAAGAUGACUAUUUCUCAAAACUUUAAAUGAUUCCUCUGAUCUCCUCUGAGGGAAACUUCCUGAGCUGCAGACAAAAAGCAAAUACAUUUUUUGUCAGUCUUCAGCCUGAGUCUCUACAAAGGGAGCACUGUCUGCAUAAUGCCACUGACUGUGCUUCUGCCGAGUCUGCAGAGCUGAUAAGCAAGAUAAUACAAAUAAAUAAUAAAUACUGGAAACUGUAGAGAAAACAUCCCAGAUCUGUGCUGCUCCUGCUGCAAGUUGUGCUUUAAAGCUUCUUUUAAAAUGAAGAAAUAACUUCUGACAA